UACGAAGGGGGCUAGCGUUGCUCGGAAUCACUGGGCGUAAAGCGCACGUAGGCGGAUCUUUAAGUCAGGGGUGAAAUCCUGGAGCUCAACUCCAGAACUGCCUUUGAUACUGGAGAUUCGUCGAGUCCGGAAGAGGUGAGUGGAACUGCGAGUGUAGAGGUGAAAUUCGUAGAUAUCGCAAGAACACCAAUGGCGAAGGCAGCUCGCUGGGACGGUACUGACGCUGAGGCGCGAAAGCGUGGGGAGCAAACAGG
rnacentral:rRNA from 1 species